UCUGGGCAUGGUGGCACAUGCCUGUAAUCCCAGCAGCUUGGGAGGCUGAGACAGGAGAAUUGUGAGUUCAAAGCAAGCCUCAGCAACAGGGAAGUGCUAAGCAACUCAAUGAAACCCUGUCUCUA
rnacentral:sRNA from 1 species